GAUCUGAUCCUUCAUCUGGGCACUCCAUAGGCCAUGGGCAGCUAAAAAAGAAAAGGGGGGGGAAGCUUGGAAAAAUGUGUAGACUUUGUUGAUUUGAAGGUCAGUAGGAACAAAGAGAUAGUGAAGGGAAAAUUGGGAACUUUAAGCCCUACCAGUUCUUUGGUGUUAAUAUACAGCUUUGCACACAAUGGGUAUUGUGGCCAAAACAUAACUUGGGAUAGGAGUUUUCAGAUCCUCGUGAUUCUUCUUCUGCGUACCUGCCCACUUUGAAAGUUAGGCUUGACCAUGUGACUUACUUUGUCUCUGAAGCAUCAGUGGAAGUGACAGGACAUAUAUCCAUUCUAGAUGGGAGCUUUAACAGCCAGUGCGCAGGGAGUUCCUACCAUGGCUCAGUGGAAACGAAUCUGACUAGUAUCCAUGAGGAUGCAGGUUCAAUCCCUGGCCUUGCUCAGUGGGUCAGGGAUCCAGCAUUGCCGUGAGCUGUGGUGUAGGUCACAGAAGCAGCUCAGAUCCCGAGUGGCUAUGGCUGUGGUGUAGCCCAGCAGCUGCAGCUCAAUUCCACCCCUAGCCUGGGAACUUACAUAUGCCACACCUGUGGCCCUGGAAAGCAAAAAAUAAACAGUGUGCAAUGCACCAUGUCCCCCACCCACCCCUAGUCCAUGCUGAUCGUGGAAUCAAAUGCUGAAAUGGAAGUCGGCCUGGGUCCCCAAGGGACUGUGGGGUAGAUUCUGUUGUCCACCUGUGUUACAGGUGUAUUAUGAGCAAGAAAUAAACCUUUAUUACACUAAGAUAGGGAAGUUUGAUUGUGAUUUGUUACCACAGCAUGACUUAGGUUUUCUUUAUUGAUAAAUUGGUUCCAGGAAGUGGGAGCUGCUCUAGCCCAGUGGCUUAGUAGCUGAUGUAUGGACAGCCAGGACACUGUCAUUGGAGAUCAGCCGCAGAACACAGAAAAUUAUUUGAGUGAUUCUUAGUUUCCUCAAGGAUGGUAAGUACCAACCAAUACCACCCUAGAUGCAUGGGAGAGAAGGUAAUCCACUGCUUAGUACCUUCAGGUGUUAAGGGCUCAACCUCUUUGGGCAGGAAAGCCCUUUCUUAUGUAUCUUGUGAGACAGAUUGUAUUUUAUAAACUUGUUCUUAAACUUGAGCACACAUCAGAAUCCCCAGGCGGGAUUGUGACCACACGGAUUGCUGGGCCUCACCCAGAGUUUCUGAUACAGUUGUCUUAUAGUGGCCCCCAAAUUGGCAUUUCCAGGUUCCUGAGUGGUGCUGAUGCUGCUGGUCGGAGACCACACUUUGAAAACACUGCUCAGGGAAGGAGUAUUAUGAGUGUACUUUGCCUUGUCUCAGCCACAAUACCUCCUGGAUGGGAAUUCUAAGUGUCUGUGCUCUUUAAUCUUUGUGGGUUUUUCUUUGUUUGCCAUUUCCAGUGACUAAGCCUUACAAGUUAGCCUGUUCCCUGUGGAACCUUUGCUCCCCAAUUUAAAAACUGAAUUCUAUAAACCUGUGAUGGUCUAAUGGCAACUUUUUGUUUCUUCAGCUUGUGUCAUAAUAUCAAGUGUUUACAAACCCUGUAUUCAUCCAGAAUUGGGUUUUAGAAUUUAGUCAGAGGACUUGACUUGAAUCCCAGCAGUCUUGUAAGAAAAAUGACCCACACAUUAUGCUUAGAAAGAAAUCUUUAUUUAUGCUAAUGCCACUGAGUGUCUCUUGUGUUGGCUCACUCCCUCAUGAAUGCUCAUUGAAAAACCGUCGUCUCCUCCCAAAACCUCAGCCAGGCAUGGAGGAGCUAGUGUGCUGCGUUGCCCUCUGUCAGCUGCUGCCUCUGAAUUCCAUCUCUGUUCUGAUUAUGCCACUGGGCAGAGACAUACAACGGAUUCCCUUUACAGAGCCCGGACAGUGGCCUAGACAUUCACACCAAGGUCCGAGAGACAGAGGCAUCUGUGAGGGACGACCACAAGGGCCAUGGUACCAGGAACCUACUUGAGGGAUCUCCCUGCCUAAACGCACACAGUGCCUGUUCAUAGCUCGGGGUCAUAGACUGAGGAUGAGUAAGAAGAGGGAGGAGAAAUCAGUGUUUCAUUGAGAAACUGGGGGCAACUUGUUUAUAUCCUCCCCAUCUAUAAAUUAAUCUUGAGAGACAAGACUCACUCUCAGAAAGUACACUUGUGACAAUGACUGAUGCAGGCCUUGAAUGACCAAAGAAUAUUAAUGAAGUUCCUCCAUAUGCCUCACUCCAUCAUUGUCAGAAUAUAUGACCAAAAGUAUGAUCAAAUAGCCAGAAGCUUGGUGUCUAUCUUAAAAACCCUGCUAUAUGUUCUGGUCUGUGUGAUAUUUAGAAAGGUUGGACAGAGUACUUCUAUUUAUCUUCAUGUGCCAGAGUGUUGGGACCCCAGCUCAGGAGGCCAGUAAGCCUACAAUUUGCUAGAGCACAGCAGACUUGGAUUCAUGAAUGUUUGGUCAGAUUCUUAUACGUGCUUCUAAUCCACCCUGAAAUUAGAAGCUAAGCACAGUCACUACCCACCAAUGGCUUACAAAGAUUACUUUUCAGUGAUCUGUACAUACGCUGACCUUAGCAUGUAGAUGUCAACAUGAGAAUUACUAACUGCUAUAAACAUUCCACCCCAUUUGGGUAAGGAGAUCCCAUGUUGUCUGAAGUCUAAGGAAAUAUAGAAAGGUGUCACUCUUUGCUUCUCCACCUCUGCUUAUUUGAUGCCUAAUAAAGGAUGACUUUUUUACUGCUUGUGUUCAUUCUCUGGCUUCCACCAAUAUAGUAAAUUCAUCUAAAGUUGACAACCAAUAAAAGAUAUUCACCUCUGGGCAAUCAGUGCAAAUAAAGAAGCGAUCUACAGGAAUCCAUUUUAUUUGGAGGUGAAAGUUGCUUCUACUAAUUCUUCAAGGAAUCCAUCAUUGUAAUUUCUAAGUGGAUGAAUUAGUUAUCUAUGGCUGUGAAAAUGCUUUGUAACACACAGCCCUUAGAGCAUCAGUGGCCUAAACGAUAAUCAGUUAGUUCCUGCUCACAUGUCCAAGCAGUCACUGAGGUGGUUCUGCCGACCUUGACCCCCUGCUGUCAGAUGAUCAAGGCUGGCUUUGGCAGGACAACUGAAACAAUUAAGGUCUGUUCUACAUGCCUCUGAACUUCCAGGUGGAUUGCCCAAGCAUGGUCUAAAGGCUGCAACAAAGAUUCAAGAAUAAGUAGACCAGCCUUCUUGAAGCUUGAAGCUUAGGGUCAGAAUUGACAUGUCAUCAUUUCCAUGGCAUUCUUUCAGCCCAAGAAAGUCACAACACCAGCCCAGAUUCAAGGAGAUUGAAAAACAAUUCCUGCCUCUUUUGUGAGAAGAAGCAAAAAGCCACGCGUGUUUGGCUUUGGAGCCAUAAAAUGCAAUAAAUCUUUCAAGGCGAGAUCCUCCCCCGGUAAUAUUUGUGGACAGGAUUUGGGGGUUGCCUAAGAGACAUACUUCUGUUACCCUCCUUAAAUACCUGAGGUAAAGGGGUGAGAUAGUAAAUCAGGUCUUUUUUUGUGGCUGAUAUUUGCAGAAACUUUUCAUGGUGGAGGCCGUAUGUCAGUGUUCAGCAUAUCAUCAUCACUACCCAGAUUGUUGCCACAGGGGAGCAGUAACUAGAGUUAUCUGCCACUUAGCAUCCAGCGACUGUGAACUUGAGCAGGGGACAGAUAAUUGUAGCAUGUUGGUGUGGGAGGGGCAGCCCAAAAGCAGCUGGAAGGAAAGAGUGUUGUCAGAAAAGAGUCUUAGGAGCUAGGGGUAAAUAUUUUUGAAAAGAAUCAGGGUGAAACAAUUAAGGGAGCAACUAGAUUGUUCUUACUGAGGAGCGAGCAUCAGAAAGCAGGAGAGGAUUUGAUCUCCACAGCCUUUGAUUUCCUCCUGGCAGAAUCUGAGAGGGGAUUGGCACCGGUCACAUUGGAGUUCCCUUCAGCGCUUCGCUGGCAAGCGUUGUUCUCACCCCAGGCCACGACUUCUUCCUAUGGCUAAUGGGGAAAGGCGCCAUAAUCAUUUCUGAAUUCUUGUCCAUGAAAUUGCUCUGAAGCAGCCUUACCAAGUAAAUCUGGCCCAGUCUCUGAGCACUCACAGGCAUCCCCCAUACUCUUUGAUAGCUGACCAUAGCCUGACAUGUCACAUGGAGCAUGGACACGGGUUGUGCCACCCAGGGGGUGAAUAGUGAGGUUGGGGAUGAGCCAGUUGGCAGAGCAGAGCUUUACCAGUUGCUAAUGAAGUGAAAGGAAUUCCUUAUUGCUUAACUGGAUUUUAACCCUUCUGGCUUGCUCUGGAUAUAAGCGGUCUUCUGAGUCUUCUCAAAAUACUGAGGCAUUCAUUCCUGGUGCCACUGAGAAGGUGAAGCAGACUGCUGCCAUCACCAGUCAAGCAUGAGACACAUCCUAAUAAGAAGAACAAGAAUAGGAACCAUGUUAACUAUCAAACACUGUGAGAAGUACUGGAGAUGAUGCUGUUAACCUGCCUGAGGCUUGACCCUCCUGAUGCUCCCAGAGGAAGGCUGAACCCUUGCUGGCCCAUGGCUUCAGACCAGAUGCUGCAGACAGACACGGAAGCUGUGCUGGAGCAAAAUGGACAUCUUCUUACAUCUGUAUCAGGGAGGGAGCCCAAGCAAGGCUGGGUGUCCUCAGGUACCAGAGAGAUUUUCUCUGUGUGUGGGUUCUAGGAUCACCAGCACUUUUAGUUUCCUUCUAGGGACUCCACUUUCCCUACAACCAAAAUGGUGAGCAGAACCAGUCUCAUGUGCUGAGUGAGGGGAGGGUGUCUGGCACAGGGUGUGGUUUAGAACCCGCACAGUGAGACAGGGUGUUCACAGCAAGUCUCAAGAUAGUGACAUAUCUGAAGGGCAGCUGUGCAAAAAGGGAAGAGAGAAGCUCUGUGCUGCUCCAGGAGGAAGGAGAUCUGAGUGCCAAGCCAGAAAUCUGACAACCAGCAUGCAGCACGUUUAAAUGACACACCCCAGAGAGAGGGAACAAGGAAAAGUUCAUGCAGCUAAAUCAACAAAGUAGAUGUUUGUUCAAUUAAAUGAAACUUGAAUGAGCACUGUUAGUCCCUCUAUGAGGGGCCUUGUUAAGGAGUGUGAGAGCUUGUGGAGGCAUCCUGAGGUCCCCAGCAAGGCCAAGACUGAUCCCUCCACUUGGUCUGAGCCCACCAAGCUUACUUGCUCUGUGCAACCUGGCCUAUCAGCGCCCUCUAGUGGACACCCAAGCAUAAGCCACUAAAAAACCCCUCAUAAUGUUUUUUAGACCAGUCAGGGGUUGUAAAAUCAGCGCAAUAAUAAGCACUUUUAAAAUCAGAUAAAUCAGGAGUUCCCUUGGUGGCUCAGCGGAAACAAACCCGGCUAGUAUGCUUAAGGACGUGAGUUCAAUCCAUGGCCCUACUCAGUGGGUUAAAGAUCCAGUGUUGCCAUGAACUGUGGUGUAGGUUGGCAGCUGUAGCUCUGAUUUGAUCCCUA
rnacentral:lncRNA from 1 species